rnacentral:rRNA from 1 species
AUACGGAGGAUCCGAGCGUUAUCCGGAUUUAUUGGGUUUAAAGGGUGCGCAGGCGGCCAUUUAAGUCAGCGGUUAAAUCGUUGGGCUCAACCCCAUUCUGCCGUUGAUACUGGGUGGCUUGAUUGCGGUCGAGGUUGGCGGAAUUCGUUGUGUAGCGGUGAAAUGCAUAGAUAUGACGAAGAACACCGAUUGCGUAGGCAGCUGACCAGACCGCAAAUGACGCUCAUGCACGAAAGUGCGGGGAUCGAACAGGAUUAGAUACCCUGGUAGUCCGCACAGUAAACGAUGAAUACUUGUUUUCGGCGAUAUAAUGUCGGAGGCAAAGCGAAAGCGAUAAGUAUUCCACCUGGGGAGUACGCCGGCAACGGUGAAACUCAAAGGAAUUGACGGGG